rnacentral:rRNA from 1 species
GAUGAGCGCUAGCGGCAGGCCUAAUACAUGCAAGCUGAACGGUAAAUAUUGUAGCAAUACAAUAUGAGAGUAGCGUAAGGGUGCGUAACACGUAUGCAAUCUGCCCUGUACAGGAGGAUAGCUCGGGGAAACCCGGAUUAAUACUCCGUAAUAUUAUUGGGAGGCAUCUCUUGAUAAUUAAAGUCGCAAGACGGUAUGGGAUGAGCAUGCGUCUGAUUAGCUAGUUGGUGGUGUAACGGACCACCAAGGCGAUGAUCAGUGGGGGAACUGAGAGGUUGAUCCCCCACACUGGCACUGAGAUACGGGCCAGACUCCUACGGGAGGCAGCAGUAGGGAAUACUGGUCAAUGGAUGCAAGUCUGAACCAGCCAUGCCGCGUGCAGGAAGAAGGCCUUCUGGGUUGUAAACUGCUUUUGCCGGGGGAUAAAAAGUCCAUGUGUGGACAAUUGAAGGUACCCGGUGAAUAAGCCACGGCUAACU